AAUAUACUUAUGUAAGAAUAUUAUAAUAAUAUUAUUUUAAUGACAAGAUUGUAUUCAUGUCUGUGUUAAUGUAUUAUUGCAUGCCG